rnacentral:rRNA from 1 species
UCUGGUUGAUCCUGCCAGUAGUCAUAUGCUUGUCUCAAAGAUUAAGCCAUGCAUGUCUAAGUAUAAAUAGUAUACAGUGAAACUGCGAAUGGCUCAUUAAAACAGUUAUAGUUUAUUUGAUAAUUGACAAUUACAUGGAUAACCGUGGUAAUUCUAGAGCUAAUACAUGCUUAAACGCCCGACUUUAUGGAAGGGUGGUAUUUAUUAGACUGAAGCCAAUAUUCCUUGUGUCUAUUGCGGUGAUUCAUAAUAACUGAUCGAAUCUCUUUUUGAGAUAAAUCAUUCAAGUUUCUGCCCUAUCAGCUUUCGAUGGUAGUGUAUUGGACUACCAUGGCAGUAACGGGUAACGAAGAAUUAGGGUUCGAUUUCGGAGAGGGAGCAUGAGAAACGGCUACCACAUCUAAGGAAGGCAGCAGGCGCGUAAAUUACCCAAUCCUGACUCAGGGAGGUAGUGACAAGAAAUAGCAAACCGGGAACCUCAUGGUUUCACGGUAUUGCAAUGAGAACAAUUUAAAACCCUUAGCGAGAAUCAAGUGGAGGACAAGUCUGGUGCCAGCACCCGCGGUAAUUCCAGCUCCACUAGCGUAUAUUAAAGUUGUUGCAGUUAGAAAGCUCGUAGUUGAACCUCUGUCUGGGGCUAGUUUUGGCUUUGGUCAGGCUAGUUCUAGGCAUCCGCCUACAAGACUUAGAGGGCAUUCAGUUGUUCACUAGGAGGAGUAGGCAUUUUACUUUGAAAAAAUUAGAGUGUUUAAGGCAGGCAAUCGCCCGCAUAUAUUAGCAUGGAAUAAUAGAAUAGGACACUUUUCCAUUUCGUUGGUUAUUGGAAUCGUGUAAUGAUUAAUAGGGACAGUUGUGGGCAUUUGUAUUUAAUUGUCAGAGGUGAAAUUCUUGGAUUUAUUAAAGACAAACUAACGCGAAAGCAUUUGCCAAGGAUGUUUUCAUUAAUCAAGAACGAAAGUUAGGGGAUCAAAGACGAUCAGAUACCGUCCUAGUCUUAACUAUAAACUAUUCCGACUCAAUGUUUGACUGGCUUAUAUAACCAGUUGAGCGUUGUAUGAGAAAUCAAAGUCUGUAGGUUCUGGGGGGAGUAUGGUUGCAAAGCUGAAACUUAAAGGAAUUGACGGAAGAGCACAACCAGGAGUGGAUUCUGCGGCUUAAUUUGACUCAACACGGGGAAACUUACCAGGUUAAAACAAUAGUGGGAUUGACAGUUUGAGAGCGCUUUCUUGAUUGGUUGGGUGGUGGUGCAUGGCCGUUCUUAGUUGGUGGAGUGAUUUGUCUGCUUAAUUGCGUUAACGAACGAGACCUUAACCUGCUUACUAGACUGGCGAUCAUCAAUCGUUAGCUCUUCUUAGAGGGAC